CUACGGAGGGUGCAAGCGUUAAUCGGAAUUACUGGGCGUAAAGGGCGCGUAGGCGGUCUAUCAAGUCAGGUGUGAAAUCCCACGGCUCAACCGUGGAGGUGCGUCUGAAACUGAUAGACUUGAGUAUGGGAGAGGAAAGUGGAAUUCCCGGUGUAGAGGUGAAAUUCGUAGAUAUCGGGAGGAACACCAGUGGCGAAGGUGACUUUCUGGACCAAUUCUGACGCUGAGGCGCGAAAGCGUGGGGAGCAAACAGGAUUAGAUACCCCAGUAGUCC
rnacentral:rRNA from 1 species